AUUGAACGCUGGCGGCAGGCCUAACACAUGCAAGUCGAGCGAGCGGCGGACGGGUGAGUAAUGUAUGGGAAACUGCCCGAUAGAGGGGGAUAACUACUGGAAACGGUGGCUAAUACCGCAUACUAUCGGAUGAACCCAUAUGGGAUUAGCUAGUAGGUGGGGUAACGGCUCACCUGGGCGACGAUCUCUAGCUGGUCUGAGAGGAUGACCAGCCACACUGGAACUGAGACACGGCCCAGACUCCUACGGGAGGCAGCAGUGGGGAAUAUUGCACAAUGGGCGCAAGCCUGAUGCAGCCAUGCCGCGUGUAUGAAGAAGGCCUUAGGGUUGUAAAGUACUUUCAGCGGGGAGGCGUUACCCGCAGAAGAAGCACCGGCUAACUCCGUGCCAGCAGCCGCGGUAAUAC
rnacentral:rRNA from 1 species